GACCACCUCUUGCAGUCGCUCAAACAACCUAUGUUGCUGAGGCAGCCGGAAGGGAGGGUGACGUUUGCUCAGAGAAGGCUGUCGAGAACAGGAAAGACAAAAGAUGGCGUCUGUCUGGAUCUGAGCCUCACCGUGCCAUCAUCCCAAGAAGCAUGACAGAGGAACAGCGCUCCAGAGGAGAGCAGGGGACCUUCUCGGUCGCCCGCUCCCACAGCAGCUGGGUCACUGCCGGUUUCAAUUCAUCCUUCUGCACAAACUCACAGAGCUGAAGAGAAAAGAGAAAGGGCUCAGGCCAAAAAAUAACAACCCCCCCCCAAUCCUUGGUCUGCUUCUCUGAAGAGAACGUUGAGAGCCCGAAGUGGGUAAAAGCAAUACUUAGGGAUGGAAAAGGAAGAAGGAGGCUCGAAAUGUAAAGUUGGGGUUUGGGGAGGUACUUGCACCUCUGUCACUUUUCUACCUUCAUGCCUUCAAAACUACAUUUAUUAAGAUGACAUACUGAAGUCUG